rnacentral:tRNA from 1 species
GCCCGGAUGGCGGAACUGGCAGACGCAGCGGACUCAAAAUCCGCCGCCCGCAAGGGUGUGAGGGUUCGAAUCCCUCUCCGGGCACCA